GCAACAAGUGGGGGAAUUGCACGCGAAAAUAUAAAGGUUCCGUUGUUGUGCAAUCAACAUCAACUAAUUAUUCAAUAUCUUCGCAUUGACACGUAUUGACAAACGCCCCAAAGCGGCUGUGCGUUGUAAGCAGGAUUUGCCGAAGCGAUUAUGCCGCUUUGGAACCAAUCAUCUGCCGUGAAAUCAUGGAAUUGCACCAUCAGAAGCAUCAUCAACAUAUGUGCACAACUUGAAUGCUGCCAAGGAGCAGUUUGCUGAAGCACAGAAAAGCUGAUGUGACAACGACCAUCCCAUGUUGAAGAUAUCUGGGAUGUCGCCAUAUGGAAGGAUAUCUAUAAUCCCCUCGUUGCCGCUGCUAAGAGAUGUUUGUGUCAUCGAAGCUUUAAAUGACCUAGAGAAACCUACCUAUAAGAUAUGUGCAAGACAAUCGUUUGCAGCUGUUUGAAUUUGUGGGACGAAUGUUGGGCAAAGCGGUGUAUGGCCAGAUACAUCAAGCGUUGUACUCCCGUAUGGAUGAGCUGCCAUCAUUGGACAACGAGCUCUAUCGCAGCCUCACAUUCAUUAGCAUUAACUUGUCUGACUUGAAUUUAGCCUUUUCGGUGGAUCAGGAUAUCAUGGGGAAAAUUGUAACGCACGAAUUGCAUCCCGGUAGGAAAGCUCGCGCGGUUACCGACCACAACAAACUGGUGUAUCCACUACAUGGAUUACUUCCAUAUGAACACACAAAUCCGCGAACAGACGCAGGUCUUUAAUCGUAGUUUUCGCGUAGUGAUUUUUUGCGUUACAUAUUCAAAAGUGUUUGUUACUAUAAUUCGGAUUAUGUUAUCGUUUUUCAAACAUUCUCCUUUAUGUACAAAAUAAUGUGGUUUACUUUCGCAGUUUUCUCAUUAAAUGUUGUGCAAUUUAUUAUGUUUUGUAGUUUUAGAAAACUGGGAUAAAAAAUUUACAAAUUAUUGUAGUUGAAUGCCAAGAUAAUAGGACUAUCAAUAAGUUCGUGCGGUUUUACAACAGAUGGCGUAACUUGAUUAUUAUUCCAUCGAUCCACAUUUCCAAACAUUCAUUGGAGAGCUACUGUCGUAAGGCACAAACGUCAGUAUAAGUUUUUUAUUUGAAGCGUAAACAACAAUAUUUUUACCACACUUGAAAAUGUCGAAUUUCGUGCCAAAUAAUGUGUUU